AGUGAACGCUGGCGGUAGGCCUAACACAUGCAAGUCGAACGGCAGCACAGUAAGAGCUUGCUCUUACGGGUGGCGAGUGGCGGACGGGUGAGGAAUACAUCGGAAUCUACUUUUUCGUGGGGGAUAACGUAGGGAAACUUACGCUAAUACCGCAUACGACCUACGGGUGAAAGCAGGGGAUCUUCGGACCUUGCGCGAUUGAAUGAGCCGAUGUCGGAUUAGCUAGUUGGCGGGGUAAAGGCCCACCAAGGCGACGAUCCGUAGCUGGUCUGAGAGGAUGAUCAGCCACACUGGAACUGAGACACGGUCCAGACUCCUACGGGAGGCAGCAGUGGGGAAUAUUGGACAAUGGGCGCAAGCCUGAUCCAGCCAUACCGCGUGGGUGAAGGAGGCCUUCGGGUUGUAAAGCCCUUUUGUUGGGAAAGAAAAGCAGCAGGUUAAGACCCCGCUGUUCUGACGGUACCCAAAGAAUAAGCACCGGCGAACUUCGU
rnacentral:rRNA from 1 species